CCACGAGAAAUCGGGGCUAAUACCGGAUGGGUCAUCGGACCGCAUGGUCCGAGGAUGAAAGGCGCUCCGGCGCCGCCUGGGGAUGGCUUUGCGGUGCAUUAGCUAGUUGGUGGGGUAAUGGCCCACCAAGGCGACGAUGCAUAGCCGACCUGAGAGGGUGAUCGGCCACACUGGGACUGAGACACGGCCCAGACUCCUACGGGAGGCAGCAGUAGGGAAUCUUCCACAAUGGACGAAAGUCUGAUGGAGCAACGCCGCGUGAACGAUGAAGGCCCUCGGGUCGUAAAGUUCUGUUGUAAGGGAAGAACAAGUGCCGCAGGCAAUGGCGGCACCUUGACGGUACCUUGCGAGAAAGCCACGGCUAACUACGUGCCAGCAGCCGCGGUAAUACGUAGGUGGCAAGCG
rnacentral:rRNA from 1 species